UGUAGCUCAAUGGUACAGCACCUGCCUGGCAAGCAUGAGACCCUGAGUUCGAUUCCUGGCA
rnacentral:tRNA from 1 species